rnacentral:rRNA from 1 species
AGAGUUUGAUCAUGGCUCAGGACGAACGCUGGCGGCGUGCCUAAUACAUGCAAGUCGAGCGAACCUGCAGGAGCUUGCUCCUGUUGGUUAGCGGCGGACGGGUGAGUAACACGUGGGCAACCUGCCUGUAAGACUGGGAUAACACCGGGAAACCGGUGCUAAUACCGGAUAAUCCUUUUCCUCUCAUGAGGAAAAGCUGAAAGUCGGUUUCGGCUGACACUUACAGAUGGGCCCGCGGCGCAUUAGUUAGUUGGUGAGGUAACGGCUCACCAAGGCGACGAUGCGUAGCCGACCUGAGAGGGUGAUCGGCCACACUGGGACUGAGACACGGCCCAGACUCCUACGGGAGGCAGCAGUAGGGAAUCUUCCACAAUGGACGAAAGUCUGAUGGAGCAACGCCGCGUGAGCGAUGAAGGCCUUCGGGUCGUAAAGCUCUGUUGUUAGGGAAGAACAAGUACCGGAGUAACUGCCGGUACCUUGACGGUACCUAACCAGAAAGCCACGGCUAACUACGUGCCAGCAGCCGCGGUA